UAAUAUUAUAAUAAUAUAAAUAAAUAAUAAAAAAAUUAAACUAAAAGAUUAAAAAUUAACUCGAAAAUAAAAAUUGAAAUUCAUAAACUCACAAUGCAAAAUCAAUUCUACUUCAAUUGGACAAAGCACAAUUAAUUUGAGAAACCCAUAGUCCUUUUCGGCCUGCUCCAUAUAACAGGCCCAGAGCUAUCCCAGAUAGUGGCCCUUUGCUCAUCUUUUGUGGAAAUCUGAAUGGGCUUCCCAAAUCAUCACAUGAUUUGCUGCCAAUUUGUAACUUGCUGGGUCCGUUUUCUG
rnacentral:misc_RNA from 1 species